rnacentral:rRNA from 1 species
AACGAACGCUGGCGGCAGGCCUAACACAUGCAAGUCGAACGCCGUAGCAAUACGGAGUGGCAGACGGGUGAGUAACACGUGGGAACGUACCCUUCGGUUCGGGAUAACUCAGGGAAACUUGAGCUAAUACCGGAUACGUCCGAGAGGAGAAAGAUUUAUCGCCGAGGGAUCGGCCCGCGUCUGAUUAGCUUGUUGGUGAGGUAACGGCUCACCAAGGCGACGAUCAGUAGCUGGUCGAGAGGAUGAUCAGCCACAUUGGGACUGAGACACGGCCCAAACUCCUACGGGAGGCAGCAGUGGGGAAUAUUGGACAAUGGGCGCAAGCCUGAUCCAGCCAUGCCGCGUGAGUGAUGAAGGCCCCUAGGGUUGUAAAGCUCUUUUACCCGGGAAGAUAAUGACUGUACCGGGAGAAUAAGCCCCGGCUAACUUCGUGCCAGCAGCCGCAGU